CAGAAGGGCUUUGGUUCAACCAUAUGACUUUUAUUCAGAAUCUGACCCAGAGGCAGAGGCUCCUGAAGAAAUUCAAACUCUACAACUGCAGCAGGACAUUUCUGAAUAGUUGACCGACCAGCCUGCUGCUGACCUCCCACAGCUUACGAGCAACCUCCUCAUCCAGGGCCAGGGGCGCUGGUUCCUUUUCUGUCAUCACAUCAUAGUAGCGUCCCGUCACACCCUCCAUCUCCUCAGACACGGCCAGUUCAAGUCCUCGAAGUCAAUCUUUCCAACGAUGUGGGCGAGUGAGGCCAGGUUGAUCACUCUGCUGGGGGCGGAC